AACGAACGCUGGCGGCAUGCCUAACACAUGCAAGUCGAACGAGACCUUCGGGUCUAGUGGCGCACGGGUGCGUAACGCGUGGGAACCUGCCCUUAGGUUCGGAAUAACUCCCCGAAAGGGGUGCUAAUACCGGAUAAUGUCUUCGGACCAAAGAUUUAUCGCCUUUGGAUGAGCCCGCGUUGGAUUAGCUAGUUGGUAGGGUAAAAGCCUACCAAGGCGACGAUCCAUAGCUGGUCUGAGAGGAUGAUCAGCCACACUGGGACUGAGACACGGCCCAGACUCCUACGGGAGGCAGCAGUGGGGAAUAUUGGACAAUGGGCGAAAGCCUGAUCCAGCAAUGCCGCGUGAGUGAUGAAGGCCUUAGGGUUGUAAAGCUCUUUUACCCGGGAUGACAAUGACAGUACCGGGAGAAUAAGCUCCGGCUAACUCCGUG
rnacentral:rRNA from 1 species